UAAGUAUCAGGGAUCAGAGGGAGGGAACAAGCCUCCCAGAC
rnacentral:sRNA from 12 species